GGCCAGAUAGGACCCCAGCCUAAACUAGUCAUAAGUUACUGGAGCGCCUAGUACAAGAGAGACGAGUGGGCUUUCGACGGCAUAAUUACAAAGUAUCUUUUAGAACCUGACAGAACCUGACUUUAUGAUCAUGUCCUCAGCUAGAGGCAGAACCUUCGCCACUGCCUGCCUCGGGGCCGCCUCUGGAAAGCCAGGGGAGUGCAUGGGGUUGUCCUGGGAGUGGGAGGUCCGGCCAAUGUUCCAUGGGCAGCCGCCAGGGCUGCGCCACCUUCUGCAGAGGCUGGGCCUGGCCACGGGAAGUCCCAUCCCCGCGACUGAGAACCCCGUGUGAGUCUGCACCUCUGAGCUCUGUGGGAGGCACUGAGGGGAACCCUGCCCACCCUGAGAGCAGCCUGCACCCACCUGGCACCCGGAAGAGACACAGCGACCUCUGUCGCGCCUGAAAAGUGCAGCACCAGGGAGGAUCCAGGGGACACAGUGACACCUCAGACAUCACCCUGGUCCUGCAGCUGCUGACACCUCCACACUUGGGCAAGUCCUGACCAUUCCCAAGUGGCCAGCUCAGAGGGAGCCACUUACAGGGCCUCGAGGCCAUGUCACCCCUCCCCGAACGCUGAUCCAGACUGUCUGAUCAUGUUUCCAAGUGAAACCUCCUCAGUUCUUAACUUUCCCAUGUCAGUAUCUGCUCAAGCCAGAGCCAUCCUGGCACAGGAAAACAACGCAUCUGCAGUCCGAGGCCCACAACCUUGUUUUGUACUCAUCUAUUUCAUCAAAUGAAGUCUGGGCUUAAUGGUGCCGAGUCCCUCUGGAUAACCACAGGAGAGAUAAACAGGAAUCAAGGGAGGAAAUGAGGUGAUAACUCGUGUCACCAGCAGCUUCUGGACCCAAGGCCAAAGUCAAGACUUGGUAACCUAGACCUCGCCCCAUGAUUAUGUCACCAAGUUAUAUAAAUGUAGGUUGAUGUUCACGGUUCAGAUGGCCAUGCAGAAGGUUUCUAGGUAUUGUCAGAACUGUACAGGACAGUUUUAAGGAGAAAUAGAGACUUCUUGUUUGAAGGAUGCCUAACUCAAAGAAACUCGAUGUAAGAAACAUCCAAAGUUAUAUAAUAAAUAUGUUCCCAUUGUGUAAGUGCUGUCAGGGUAGCAUUUUCUGGGGAGACACUGGGAAGAAAGAAGAUGGACGAGAAUCUUGGAUUUAGAGGGUAUUAAGGGCUGGAAGAGGACUCAUGAACCCCUUCAAAUUCCUUAAUAUUUAGAUGAGGAAACUGAGGGUCUGAGAGGUCAGGAUUUACCAAGAACCAGAGCCUGACUGGCUUCAAAAUGCAAACCCUUUCGAGCGCCCGCAUUUACUCCGAUUCAGAGUUCAGAGCAGCAGGAGGGUUGUGGAAGCACACCAGCCUGGGGAGGAAUGCUGGGAACCACACACUCGGUGGUCACACUCACAACUUGUUUCUCCGAAACCGACGGAUCCUAAAAGUUAAUGAGAAAUGCCUAACAUGGGGCUGGACACUCCGUGGACACCUGGCAUCUGCUCCCAGACGCCUCUUAUGAACAUUUCAUAUACACGAAGUCGUAUAAUAUGGAGUCUCCUGGUAUUUUGUGACUGGCAUUUUGGGUAAUGUUUUCAAGGUUCAUCAGUGUUGGGGCAUGUAUCAAACAUUCCUUUUCCUGGCUGAAUACUAUUCCAUUGUGUGGCUAUGCUGCAUUUGGCUUACCUGUUCAUCAAUUUUUGGGUUGUUUCCAUUUUGGACCAUUGUUAAUAAUGUUACUGGCCCCUGUCUUUUAAUACUAAGUAAAUACUACUUACUUUAGCUCCUGCCCGCUCAUCCUCCUAAUCUUGACAACUUGGCCCUAAGUUUUGCAAUGUAGCAACC
rnacentral:lncRNA from 1 species